rnacentral:rRNA from 1 species
CGAGCGCAACCCCUGUCGUGUGUUGUACCACUCACACGAUACUGCCGAGACAAACUCGGAGGAAGGCGGGGAUGACGUCAAGUCAGCAUGGCCCUUAUGUCUUGGGCUACACCCACGCUACAAUGGCCGGUACAACGGGGCCUGCGAAACCGCGAGGCGGAGCGAAUCCCUUAAAGCCGGUCUCAGUUCGAAUUCAGGCUGCAACUCGCCUGCAUGAAGCCGGAGUUGCUAGUAACCGCUGGUCAGCACACAGCGGUGAAUAUGUUCCCGGGGCUUGUACACACCGCCCGUCAGUCACGAAAGUCGGCAAUACCCGAAGCCAGUGCGCCAACCGUAAGGGGC